CAGUCGCCGCGGGAAUACGAAGGGUGCAAGCGUUACUCGGAAUUACUGGGCGUAAAGCGUGCGUAGGUGGUGGUUUAAGUCUGUUGUGAAAGCCCCGGGCUCAACCUGGGAAUGGCAAUGGAUACUGGCGAGCUAGAGUGUGUCAGAGGAUGGUGGAAUUCCCGGUGUAGCGGUGAAAUGCGUAGAGAUCGGGAGGAACAUCAGUGGCGAAGGCGGCCAUCUGGGACAACACUGACGCUGAGGCACGAAAGCGUGGGGAGCAAACAGGAUUAGAUACCCCCGUAGUCCCUGUCUCUUAUAC
rnacentral:rRNA from 1 species